CCAAAUAAACUUUGAUUCAAAGUAAAGAUAAAUUAUUGUUAAAUCCUACCCCCACCCCCACUUUCUUCUGCCUGUUUUUACAGCCAACUCUCUACUUUCUUCUUUUCUAUUUCUCUUUCACCCACUUUCGAUGGUGACAAGCCACCAGCCCCGCCGCACUUAAUUAUUUGAUCGAGUGAAGGAGUAAUGAUGGAAACAAUGGAGUUUUGGGGAUUUUUGGUCUCUCCUCUAUUCGGGUCUUUCCCAUUAUGUUUUUAUUGUGUAUUACUCGUCUUCUCUAUCUGGGGUUCUAUCUUAAAUCCCCAUGUGCUCCUUCAUAAUCUCUAAAGGUCUUAACCGUGAUGGGCGAUCACUACCGAAGAAGAUACCUUUCCCAUCAAAACUCGUCAGUUCUUCGAUGUUCAUUCAUUUAUACAUUACGUAAUUAUUGUAUAAUAACUGUGUAAUGUAUGUAUAAUUAGUGUGUGUAUAUAUGUUGAUUAUAUAUUUAUGAUACACUUCAUAUACAUAGUGUAUACAAAUUGUAUGAGCACCCAAUGUUUAUUAAUAGUGUAUAUGUGUCAUAUACAAGUGUCGAUACAGUUUAAAUAUAUACUCACACUUUUAUAUGACUUUCAAGUGUAUAAUAAAUGUAUUACUCUCUAAUAAGAGGGAAUGGGUAGGAGAAGCAAGCAGCUAUCCGUCAACAUGUCUGCUUUUUUUGCA
rnacentral:lncRNA from 1 species